rnacentral:rRNA from 1 species
AACGAACGCUGGCGGCAGGCUUAACACAUGCAAGUCGAGCGCCCCGCAAGGGGAGCGGCAGACGGGUGAGUAACGCGUGGGGAUCUACCGAGCCCUAAGGAAUAGCUCCGGGAAACUGGAAUUAAUACCUUAUACGCCCUUCGGGGGAACGAUUUACCGGGGUUUGAUGAGCCCGCGUUGGUUUAGCUAGUUGGUGGGGUAAAGACCUACCAAGGCGACGAUCCAUAGCUGGUCUGAGAGGAUGAUCAGCCACAUUGGGACUGAGACACGGCCCAAACUCCUACGGGAGGCAGCAGUGGGGAAUAUUGGACAAUGGGCGCAAGCCUGAUCCAGCCAUGCCGCGUGAGUGAUGAAGGCCCUAGGGUUGUAAAGCUCUUUCACCGGUGAAGAUAAUGACGGUAACCGGAGAAGAAGCCCCGGCUAACUUCGUGCCAGCCGCCGCCGUAACAC